rnacentral:rRNA from 1 species
GAUGAACGCUGGCGGCGUGCCUAAUACAUGCAAGUCGAGCGAACGGACGAGAAGCUUGCUUUUCUGAUGUUAGCGGCGGACGGGUGAGUAACACGUGGAUAACCUACCUAUAAGACUGGGAUAACUUCGGGAGACCGGAGCUAAUACCGGAUAAUAUUUUGAACCGCAUGGUUCAAAAGUGAAAGACGGUCUUGCUGUCACUUAUAGAUGGAUCCGCGCUGCAUUAGCUAGUUGGUAAGGUAACGGCUUACCAAGGCAACGAUGCAUAGCCGACCUGAGAGGGUGAUCGGCCACACUGGAACUGAGACACGGUCCAGACUCCUACGGGAGGCAGCAGUAGGGAAUCUUCCGCAAUGGGCGAAAGCCUGACGGAGCAACGCCGCGUGAGUGAUGAAGGUCUUCGGAUCGUAAAACUCUGUUAUUAGGGAAGAACAUAUGUGUAAGUAACUGUGCACAUCUUGACGGUACCUAAUCAGAAAGACACGGCUAACUACGUG